rnacentral:rRNA from 1 species
AGAGUUUGAUCAUGGCUCAGGAUGAACGCUAGCGGCAGGCUUAACACAUGCAAGUCGAGGGGUAAAUAUAGCAAUAUAUGAGACCGGCAAACGGGUGCGGAACACGUACUGAACCUACCUUUAUCUGGGGCAUAGCCCGGAGAAAUCCGGAUUAACUCCCCAUAGUAUCAUUGGAUGGCAUCAUUUGGUGAUUAAAAACUCCGGUGGUUAAAGAUGGGCAUGCGGCUGAUUAGCUAGUUGGUGAGGUAAUGGCUCACCAAGGCUACGAUCAGUAGGGGGUCUGAGAGGAUGUCCCCCCACACUGGUACUGAGACACGGACCAGACUCCUACGGGAGGCAGCAGUAGAGAAUAUUGGUCAAUGGACGAAAGUCUGAACCAGCCAUGCCGCGUGCAGGAUGACUGCCCUAUGGGUUGUAAACUGCUUUUAUACGGGGAGAAACCCCUGAACGUGUUCGGGGCUGACGGUACUGUAUGAAUAAGGAUCGGCUAACUUCGUG